CCCUUAGACGUUCUGGGCCGCACGCGCGCUACACUGACCAGUGCAACAAGCAUCCGUCCUUGGCCGGCAGGCCCGGGCAAUCUUUGAACGCUGGUCGUGAUGGGGAUAGACUUUUGCAAUUUUUGGUCUUCAACGAGGAAUUCCUAGUAAACGCAAGUCAUCAACUUGCAUUGAUUACGUCCCUGCCCUUUGUACACACCGCCCGUCGCACCUACCGAUUGAAUGGUCCGGUGAAAUCUCCGGACUGGCGUGAGUCGGAGCAAUCUGACAAACACCGGAAAGUUGAUUAAACCUUACCAUUUAGAGGAAGGUGAAGUCGUAACA
rnacentral:rRNA from 1 species